rnacentral:pre_miRNA from 1 species
GUUCUAUUCCUUCUGUCCGAAAAUACUUGUCAUCAAAAUAGACAAAAAAGAAUGUAUAUAGAACUAAAAUACAUCUAGAUACAUCCCCUUUUAUUCAUUUUAAUGAAAGUAUUUUCGGACGGAGGGAGUAUAAA